CAACGGAUCUCUUGGCUCCAGCAUCGAUGAAGAACGCAGCGAAACGCGAUAUGUAAUGUGAAUUGCAGAAUUCAGUGAAUCAUCGAAUCUUUGAACGCACAUGGCGCCUUCCAGUAUCCUGGGAGGCAUGCCUGUCCGAGCGUCGUUUCAACCCUCGAGCCCCCGUGGCCCGGCGUUGGGG
rnacentral:rRNA from 1 species